rnacentral:rRNA from 1 species
UGGGGAAUAUUGCGCAAUGGGCGAAAGCCUGACGCAGCGACGCCGCGUGAGGGAUGAAGGUUUUCGGAUCGUAAACCUCUGUCAGAAGGGAAGAAACCGCACUGUGCUAAUCAGCAGUGCCUUGACGGUACCUUCAAAGGAAGCACCGGCUAACUCCGUGCCAGCAGCCGCGGUAAUACGGAGGGUGCAAGCGUUAAUCGGAAUUACUGGGCGUAAAGCGCACGUAGGCUGCUUUGUAAGUCAGGGGUGAAAUCCCACGGCUCAACCGUGGAACUGCCUUUGAUACUGCUUAGCUUGAAUCCGGGAGAGGGUGGCGGAAUUCCAGGUGUAGGAGUGAAAUCCGUAGAUAUCUGGAGGAACAUCAGUGGCGAAGGCGGCCACCUUGACCGGUAUUGACGCUGAAGUGCGAAAGCGUGGGGAGCAAACAGG